CGCCAAGAAUCUAUUGUUCAUACUGGCAGCAGCGUCUGUGAAGGGAAAAGUAUCUGUUCAGGGCUCACCUUUAAGGAAAACCUUCUCCACAGAAAGGCAAAAUUUAAACUGACAAGAGAAAAACCUCUAAAAGCUAAAGGAUAUUGUAUCAAACUAAACAAGCAUCAUGGGACGAGGUGAGAGUGAGGGGUGGGAGGAAGAGCCUAAGACAACUCAACCCCAGAGUCAUGGGGACAACAAGGAAAAAAGUUCCAAGGGUGGAGGCUGUCCAAAGUGCUGCUUGAAGACCAGGGACUGUCUGAUGAGCCCAGAAUGUGGCAGAGCACUGCAGAUCUCCAGUGUUGUUGCCUUCUGCGGAAUGUGUAUCCGUGCAUGGACGUAAUCACCAAGGCCUUCGGGACUUCUAUGAACUAUGAAGAAUCUUUCAAUCUUCUGAUUGAAAUAUUUUAGUGUACUCUGAAAUGAAAAAUGUUUAAUUUGACUCUUUACUUAGUUUUUCUUAACUUCAGUAAAUAUUUAAUAUAAAAAAUAAGUUAGCAGUAUUUUAAACAGAUAGGCCAGUUAUUAAAAAUGUCAUACUUUACCAAAAUAUUUGAUUUAUGUAGAAAGAGGGAAGUGUAUUUGUAUCUAUGCAGUAAAUAAUGUCAUAAUGUAGAAAGCUGGAGUCAAGCUUGUUUGUAUAUAUUGUAAUUUAAAGAAUUACAUGGGAAGAGUUCGAAUGUAUACAAUAACUAAGUAAGCGUAAUUUAUUUUUUGAGUCAAAGUAAAAAAAUGUAUCUCCCUACAAAUUGGUCACAUGUAAGAGAUAAAUAAUAUUCAUAUUGAAAACCUGUUCUCACAAUUUGAUCACAACAAAAAUCAUCUGACAUUCAUCAAGGCCUUCAAGUUGAAGGCUUUGGUUCAGUUUGCCCGUUUUUAGAGACUGUUAAUUUUAUGAAACAAAAACCACAUUUCCUUCCAUUGGACAGGAAGCAGAUAAUAAAAAUAUAAAUCAUCAGUUGUUAAAUCUGAUCAAAUGUAAAGACGAUUGAUAAAAAAUGUUCUGUGGCAGAUUGCUCAAUUUUGCAUACAAAAAAAGUCAGUUGUGAAAAAAAAUAAAAGGCAGGAAAAAUUGAAAAUUUGAAGUUGUUUUAUAGUACUAGUAAGGUUGUAUGUGUGGGUCAGGGUUAAAUCCUGUACAAAAAAGAACUCCAACAACUAUGAAGUACAGGGGUGGCAUCAUGUUGUGUGUGUGUUUUGUAGCAGGAAGAACUGGUGCAAUUCACAAAAUAGAGAAAAAGAGCUCUAUGUGCAAAUAUUGAACGUCUCAAUAUUUAUUAAAUGCUGCAGACUUUUUAUACAGAAAAUUCUUAAAAUUAUAUGUAACUUACCAAAAGCAUAUUAGUUUUAAAUAUGUGUUAUUAGUGUAUAUGUUAGAUUCAUUUGUCCUUAUGUAGCUGCCUUCCUGUGUCCCACUGUCAGCAAAGGCAUCACAAUACAGGGGUGACAUUUAAGGCGGACCGAUUAAAGCUUCUCUGCAAUUAAUUUCGCUUUCCUCUCCCUGCUAAAUACACAAUCAACCAAAGGCAAAAUGUCACUGAAACAAACGAGGAGCCGCCGUGUGGCUGACAAUUACCACCAAGCACCUCAGAAAUGCCAAUAUGUUAAACUGGGAGCGGUGUGUGUGAUGAAUGAGCACAAAUGGCGAUCCAGAGGCCUGGUGUUGCAGCCUUGCCAAAAAUGGUAAUGACAGCUGACAAGUCGAUGCAUAGGUCAAACGUUUCAAAGGUGUUGCACAUAACAUAUCUGAUAAAUAGGAUCACAUCAUUAGUAAUACAAGAAAAAUGCACCGUUCUGCACAGCAUUAUAAGCCGGUAUUGAUUACAUGAUACCAAAUCAAUUUUCUGAAUUCACCGUAGUGUCUUAAGUCAAUGAUACAUUUUUAAUAUAUAAACUAUUAAGACCACAACACAGUUUUAUGCUGUGUCAUUUAUAUACACAAGCCCAGACAAGUCUAAAAUCCCAGCAAUAACUACUAAUACCCAGGAAAAAGCGAGCUAGAAACGACCAGGCACUAUGACUAGUGAGCAGAAACAAUCUUAUAAUGGACUGAGGAAACCAGAAACAAUACAGAGGUAUAUAAAAGGGAUAUUAUGAUCUGCUGGUUUUCCAGAUAAUUUAAGUUUGAUAUUCAUUUAAGAUUUAAUCUGGGGAUAUUUAGUUAUGCCUGUGGGACAAGAACUCUUCCUACUCACUAUUAAUGAACUAUUAUCAUGAUGUAAUCACAAAGUUAGUUUAUUUUACUGAGUUUGUUUUAUGUUUGAGUUGUCCACAUGCUUAAGCAGAGCAUUUAGCUCUUUUGUGCUUUUUAAUAUAUACACAUUUAUUAUGUUUUAUUGCAUUUGUGACAACCUUCUCUUUUUCUCUCAAAAAAAAUUUAAUUUUCAAGAGUUUUUCCUGAGUAAAUCAGUUGUUGCAUAAAUAAGUUUAUAUAUAUAUAUAUAAUGAUGUUGACUAAGAAGUGUGGACAGCACUGAAAUAGAACCAAAUCUACUUUAGUUAAUGGAAACCCCCAUUGAGACUGACCAGGAUUUCAAGCUGCUCCUGUUGGACAGAAACUCACUUGGAAUGCAGCAACCCCAUCUGUUGUACUCAGACUGAGCCAUCUUAACGAGCUGAAAUGUUUCAGUGUUGGGUGAUCAGCACCCACCUGCCCUCUUACAGUUUAGAGUCAAGAAAACCCAAUCCCUAUCUGGGGACUACACUGUGUUUGUCAGGUUGUCAAAACGGAAAUGCUCCUUCAGAUAAUUUUUUUCCACAUUUUUUUUCUUGUCAGGCACCACAGUCUGCCCAUGUGAUUAUCUCCAUCCGCAGCAAGUCACGGUGUGAUGAAUAGCCAUUUUAUUCAAAAUAAAAUAACUAAAUACUGCUAAUAAAUAUUUUUUUUAAAUACUCCAUAAACUAAAUAAAGGUUCCAAUGAAGUUUU